rnacentral:pre_miRNA from 1 species
UAGUAGACAUUCUCCGAUCUUUGGUGAUUCAGCUUCAAUGAUUGGCUACAGGUUUCUUUCAUAAAGCUAGGUUACCAAAGCUCGGCGUCUUGAUCUAC